rnacentral:rRNA from 1 species
UGCCAUCGUCGUGGCAGCCGCUCCGUUGAAGCGAAUGGGGCAUGGGUUCAUCUGAAUUUCUGGGCGUUAAGGGGGCGUAGGUGGUUGGUUAAUGUUGCUUUGAAAGCCCCGGGCUCAACCUGGGAAUGGCAUUGGAUACUGGACAGCUAGAGUUCGGUAGAUGGUAGUGUAAUUCCCGGUGUAGCAGUGAACUGCGUAGAGAUCGGGAGGAACAGCAGUGGCGAAGGCGGCUACCUGGACCAGCACUGACACUGAAGCACGAAAGCGUGGGGAGCAAACAGGAUUAGAUACUCCAGUAGUC